rnacentral:rRNA from 2 species
UACGGUGACCAUAGCGUCAGGGAAACACCCAGUCUCCAUUCCGAACCUGGAAGUUAAGCCUGACAGCGCCGAUGGUACUGCGACCGGUAGGUCGUGGGAGAGUAGGACGUCGCCGGAC